rnacentral:rRNA from 1 species
CCUACGUGAGGCUGCAGUGGGGAAUAUUGGACAAUGGGCGAAAGCCUGAUCCAGCCAUGCCGCGUGUGUGAAGAAGGCCUUCGGGUUGUAAAGCACUUUCAGUGGGGAAGAAAGCCUUGAGGCUAAUACCCUCGAGGAAGGACAUCACCCACAGAAGAAGCACCGGCUAACUCCGUGCCAGCAGCCGCGGUAAUACGGAGGGUGCGAGCGUUAAUCGGAAUUACUGGGCGUAAAGCGCGCGUAGGCGGUCUGAUAAGCCGGUUGUGAAAGCCCCGGGCUCAACCUGGGAACGGCAUCCGGAACUGUCAGGCUAGAGUGCAGGAGAGGAAGGUAGAAUUCCCGGUGUAGCGGUGAAAUGCGUAGAGAUCGGGAGGAAUACCAGUGGCGAAGGCGGCCUUCUGGACUGACACUGACGCUGAGGUGCGAAAGCGUGGGUAGCAAACAGGAUUAGAUACCCUAGUAGUC